rnacentral:lncRNA from 1 species
UCUACAGAUUUAAUUUAGAUUUAUUUUACAGUUUAUGAACAUUAGCAAGACAAGAAAUAGAAUAUGGAGAUACCAGAUUUAUUAGAAUAUACAGAUACACAGAUACGCGAUUAAAUAGCAAAACCAAAGUUAGCAUUUCUGGUACAGAAUGACCAACGUUGAAAGGAUUCUUUCUAUCACACCACAACUUUUACAACCUAUCUAAUACAAUGAUCACACAAGUCCCUAACCUACAAUUCUAAAACACAAUCUGCC